rnacentral:hammerhead_ribozyme from 1 species
GCCGAAACGCUCUGCGGAGCGUCAGCCGCGGGAUGGUCGCCCGGCUCUGAUGAUGGCAGACCAG